UGAGUGAAGAAGGUUUUCGGAUCGUAAAGCUCUGUUGUAAGUCAAGAACGUGUGUGAGAGUGGAAAGUUCACACAGUGACGGUAGCUUACCAGAAAGGGACGGCUAACUACGUGCCAGCAGCCGCGGUAAUACGUAGGUCCCGAGCGUUGUCCGGAUUUAUUGGGCGUAAAGGGAGCGCAGGCGGUCAGGAAAGUCUGGAGUAAAAGGCUAUGGCUCAACCAUAGUGUGCUCUGGAAACUGUCUGACUUGAGUGCAGAAGGGGAGAGUGGAAUUCCAUGUGUAGCGGUGAAAUGCGUAGAUAUAUGGAGGAACACCAGUGGCGAAAGCGGCUCUCUGGUCUGUCACUGACGCUGAGGCUCGAAAGCGUGGGUAGCGAACAGGAUUAGAUACCCUGGUAGUCCACGCCGUAAACGAUGAGUGCUAGGUGUUAGGCCCUUUCCGGGGCCUAGUGCCGGAGCUAACGCAAUAAGCACUCCGCCUGGGGAGUACGACCGCAAGGUUGAAACUCAAAGGAAUUGACGGGGGCCCGCACAAGCGGUGGAGCAUGUGGUUUAAUUCGAAGCAACGCGAAGAACCUUACCAGGUCUUGACAUCCCGAUGCUAUUCUUAGAGAUAGGAAGUUACUUCGGUACAUCGGAGACAGGUGGUGCAUGGUUGUC
rnacentral:rRNA from 1 species